UGGGGAAUAUUGGACAAUGGGCGAAAGCCUGAUCCAGCCAUGCCGCGUGAGUGAAGAAGGCCCUAGGGUUGUAAAGCUCUUUCAGCGGGGACGAUAAUGACGGUACCCGCAGAAGAAGCCCCGGCUAACUUCGUGCCAGCAGCCGCGGUAAUACGAAGGGGGCUAGCGUUGUUCGGAUUUACUGGGCGUAAAGCGCGCGUAGGCGGGUUCUCAAGUCAGGGGUGAAAUCCCAGGGCUCAACCCUGGAACUGCCUUUGAUACUGGGAGCCUGGAGUUCGGGAGAGGUGAGUGGAAUUCCGAGUGUAGAGGUGAAAUUCGUAGAUAUUCGGAGGAACACCAGAAGCGAAGGCGGCUCACUGGCCCGAUACUGACGCUGAGGCGCGAAAGCGUGGGGAGCAAACAG
rnacentral:rRNA from 1 species